AACCAGACUGGAUGUUGGAAGUGUUGCCCGUCCCACCCUGACGGUGCUGCCCCCCUCCACUGAGCAGCUGCAGCAGGGGAAGGCCACGCUCAUGUGCCUGGCCAACAAGGGCUUCCCCUCAGACUGGAGUUUGGCCUGGAGGGUGGACGGCAGCAGCACCAGCAGCAGCAGCAUCAGCUGGGAGCAGAGCAGCAGCCCCGGGGUGCUGGAGAAGGACGGCCACUACAGCUGGAGCAGCACCCUGAGGCUCUCUGCAGACCAGUGGAGGAAGGUGGGCUCUGUGACCUGUGAGGCCACCCAGGGCACCCAGACUCCGCUCUCAGAGACUCUGAGGAAGGACCAGUGUCCCCAGUCCUGAUCUGACUCACUGGUUUUACCCUGCUACUGCUCUCAGUCUGCACUCUUUCUCUGUUUCUGUCAUGAUGUUUCAACAUUAACUUGUUCUUGCUUGUGUUGUCAGUUUUAACGUUUUCAAACAAUAAAAAAUUCCAUCGUAUCCAUUAUAUUUUUUUCACGUAUUAUAUAUUAGGAGCAUGAAUCAGAUUAAUGUGCCGAAGUGACUCAUAAGAAGGACAUUUUUUCCAGAUUAAUUUUUAAUAGUUUUAAGACUCAAAAAGCUAUCGGAUUUAACAAAUUUAUAUACUCUUGAAGAUCCACAUUUUAAGUUAACAUGUCAUUCAAUUCGUAUUUUUACCUAAGAUCAAUUAUCAUUCAUUUGUAAUCCCAUGUUACCAAUAUAAAUGGUGCCCAUUUUAGAGUUAUCUAUACACAUAUUUUGGGACAUCCAAAAAUUGCUACAUAUUGGUGCCCCAUGUGAGGCAUUGUACUGUUGGCGAUCGUUCUGCACACUGUAACUCUCUUUCUCACAUGUUCUUGUUUGUCUCUGUCUCAUAUGUUCUUAUGCUUUCAACUUUUUAAAGCAAUAAAGAUUUUAUUGUGUGUAUUAUAAAA